CCUACGUGUGGCAGCAGUGAGGAAUAUUGGUCAAUGGUCGGGAGACUGAACCAGCCAAGCCGCGUGAGGGAUGAAGGUACAAAGUAUCGUAAACCUCUUUUGUCAGGGAACAAAGGCGGGGACGUGUCCCCGGAUGAGAGUACCUGAAGAAAAAGCAUCGGCUAACUCCGUGCCAGCAGCCGCGGUAAUACGGAGGAUGCGAGCGUUAUCCGGAUUUAUUGGGUUUAAAGGGUGCGCAGGCGGUCUGUUAAGUCAGGGGUCAAAGCACGGGGCUCAACCCCGGCCCGCCGUUGAAACGGUCGGUCUCGAGUUGGAGAGAGGUAGGCGGAAUGCGUGGUGUAGGGGUGAAAUGCAUAGAGAUCGCGCAGAACUCCGAUUGCGAAGGCAGCGUGCCGGCGCCACACUGACGCUGAGGCACGAAAGCGUGGGUAUCGAACAGGAGUAGAGACCCCUGUAGUC
rnacentral:rRNA from 1 species